rnacentral:rRNA from 1 species
AUUGAACGCUGGCGGCAGGCCUAACACAUGCAAGUCGAGCGGAUGAAGGGAGCUUGCUCCUGGAUUCAGCGGCGGACGGGUGAGUAAUGCCUAGGAAUCUGCCUGGUAGUGGGGGAUAACGUCCGGAAACGGGCGCUAAUACCGCAUACGUCCUGAGGGAGAAAGUGGGGGAUCUUCGGACCUCACGCUAUCAGAUGAGCCUAGGUCGGAUUAGCUAGUUGGUGGGGUAAAGGCCUACCAAGGCGACGAUCCGUAACUGGUCUGAGAGGAUGAUCAGUCACACUGGAACUGAGACACGGUCCAGACUCCUACGGGAGGCAGCAGUGGGGAAUAUUGGACAAUGGGCGAAAGCCUGAUCCAGCCAUGCCGCGUGUGUGAAGAGGGUCUUCGGAUUGUAAAGCACUUUAAGUUGGGAGGAAGGGCAGUAAGUUAAUACCUUGCCGUUUUGACGUUACCAACAGAAUAAGCACCGGCUAACUUCGUG